GUGAGGAAUAUUGGUCAAUGGGCGGGAGCCUGAACCAGCCAAGUCGCGUGAAGGAAGAAGGAUCUAUGGUUCGUAAACUUCUUUUGCAGGGGAAUAAAGUGCGGGACGUGUCCUGUUUUGUAUGUACCCUGAGAAUAAGGAUCGGCUAACUCCGUGCCAGCAGCCGCGGUAAUACGGAGGAUCCGAGCGUUAUCCGGCUUUAUUGGGUUUAAAGGGUGCGUAGGUGGUUUGAUAAGUCAGCGGUGAAAGUUUGCAGCUUAACUGUAAAAAUGCCGUUGAACCUGUCGGACUUGAGUGUAAAUGAGGUAGGCGGAAUGCGUGGUGUAGCGGUGAAAUGCAUAGAUAUCACGCAGAACUCCGAUUGCGAAGGCAGCUUACUAAGCUACAACUGACACUGAAGCACGAAAGCGUGGGGAUCAAACA
rnacentral:rRNA from 1 species